rfam:Sulfuricurvum sp. PC08-66 contig_10, whole genome shotgun sequence.
CGCGGUGGCUAUAGAGUAAAGGCAACGCCCAGCCCCCAUUCCGAACCUGGAAGCUAAGCUUUACUUCGCUGAUAAUACUGCAUCUUUCAGGUGUGGAAACGUAGGUCGCUGCCGCGC